UGAGAUUAAGCUUCAGUUGUCCGAUUUG
rnacentral:rRNA from 15 species